GGGUGACAACACUUAUUGAUACGAUUACUGCUGGUUCCUACCCUCUAACGUUCCAAGUACAGGACCCAUGUGGUAAAACAGGCACCGGUACUCUUACCAUAACAGUUACGAAUUCGCCCAUCUAUCUCACCAGCCUUCCGAGUUACGCCGUGGUGAGUCAAGAUAUCACCACCCAGACCCUUCUCCAUACCUUGGCCACUUCGGACGCCUCUCCGACCGACAGUAUCGCCAGCUGCAACUUGGCUGCCGCCCCGAAAUUCUCCACCGCUAUUGUCACAGGAACAACGUACGGAAUAUACUCCAUUUUAAAUCCCGGGUUCGAUUAUGUAACGACAAAGAAGUAUCAAUUUGACGCCACAUGUACAGAUUCCUAUGGAGCCUCAGACAGCGGAACUUUGUAUGUCUACGUUACAGCCAACACUCCACCGAUAUUCACAAACCUGCCAGAUAAAACAACGAUUGCCAGUACCAUAGCAACCGGUACCAGUGUGUUUGCUGUAACAGCCACCGAUGUUGACGUUGUAGAUACCAUCACGUUCAACGGCGUCACGUGCUCGACAGGAACCUGUCCGUUUACAAUAACCGCCGG